rnacentral:rRNA from 1 species
AUGCAUGCUACGACACAACUUAUGUUCUCGGCCAACGUCCGCCGCAUCAUGAGGCCACCACUCCCAGACGGCUACUUCGGCAAUGCGAUAAUAAACCUAAGUGUCGGCGACAAAGCGCAUGCCAUCGCCUCACGCGAGCUGAGCUACAUCGCGCGGCAAAUUAGAGACACCCACAAACGGGUGAACGACGAGCUAGUGCAUUCGGCAAUCGACUACCUUGAGCUAGCAAAGAGGGACGACGAGCGCCCGGCUACAGGCAAUUUGCCCGUGACAGACAUUAGAGUUGUCAGCUGGCUUGGCAUGCCGUCGUACGAUGCGGAUUUCAGCUGGGGGAGGCCAUUCGCUAUGUUCCGUGCUGAACCAAACCGCGGAGGUUUUGUGCACCUGAUUGACAGCGCACAGGGUGAUGGCAGUGUGCGCAUCAUCAUGUCUAUAGAGGUUGCAAUUCUCAGCGAGUUCAAGCGUUUGUUGUAUGCCAAAUUCGACACCAUGUUGUAUUCUAAGUUUUAA